rnacentral:rRNA from 1 species
UACAGAGGGUGCGAGCGUUAAUCGGAAUUACUGGGCGUAAAGGGCGCGUAGGCGGAUGAAUAAGUUAUAUGUGAAAGCCCUGGGCUUAACCUAGGAAUGGCAUGUAAUACUGUUUAUCUAGAGUGAAGUAGAGGGUAGCGGAAUUUCCGGUGUAGCGGUGAAAUGCGUAGAUAUCGGAAGGAACACCAGUGGCGAAGGCGGCUAUCUGGACUUUUACUGACGCUGAGGCGCGAAAGCGUGGGGAGCAAACAGG